UACGGAAGGCAGCAGUGGGGAAUAUUGCACAAUGGGCGAAAGCCUGAUGCAGCUAUGCCGCGUGUAUGAAGAAGGCCUUAGGGUUGUAAAGUACUUUCAUCGGGGAGGAAAAACAAAACUAAUAAUUUUAUUUCUUGACGUUACCCGAAAAAGAAGCACCGGCUAACUCCGUGCCAGCAGCCGCGGUAAUACGGAGGGUGCUAGCGUUAAUCAGAAUUACUGGGCGUAAAAAGCACGUAGGUGGUUUUUUUAAGUCAGAUGUGAAAUCCCCUGGGCUUAACCUGGAACUGCAUUUUGAAACUGAAAUACUAGAGUAUCGUAGAGGGAGGUAGAAUUCUAGGUGUAGCGGUGAAAUGCGUAGAUAUCUGGAGGAAUACCUGUGGCGAAAGCGGCCUCCUAAACGAAUACUGACACUGAGGGUGCGAAAGCGUGGGGAGCAAACAGGGAUUAGAUACC
rnacentral:rRNA from 1 species